UUUUUUUUUUUUUACAAGAAGAAUAAUUCCUUUGAUAGUUUUAUAAAUUGUAGAAUUUCCCUAGUCUAGCCAGGAACAAAGCUAUACAAAAUGCUGGAACAGGAACAAAAGGAACAUCUGGUAAGUUCACAUCGAUGACAAUCAUAGGUCGAAUGAACUAUUUCACUGCUACAGCAGCUGUAACAAGUGAAUUUACUUUUCCAACCGAGCCAAUGAGAUUACUACAGCAAAGUCUCUCUCUGUCUCUCAUGUUCCAAGGUGAAUGCUUUCUGGACUCUAAUAUGAAUCUAUGCCACUAAUGGAAAGAAAUUAUUACGAUAAUUGGGGAGAGCAGUGGACAGCCUAAACUUGGUAAAGGAGCACCAAACAGUCCUAUUUCCAAAAUAUUCGGCGAGGGUACGCAUGUAUCUCUACCAAAAUCUGUUGGUACCUCCUAGCUAGCUAGCUAGAAGUUCCAAAUGGAAGUUGGGAAAGCGGGUUCUUCUUGGACAUUAUAAACUUGGAAACUUGAUGAUUCUCCUGCUCGAUAAUCCGCAAUUCCAUGCAUCUCAAUCAGCGAAUCCCAGUUGAAACUCUUGUCUGCCACGGCUGCAAGAUUAUUGUCUUCAUCAUAAUCUUUUAAUGAAGAUUGUUGCUCCAUGCAGCUUUCUGUGGCAUCAUUGUUUUCUGGUUGCCCAUCUACUUUUAGUAUGCCCAGUUGCUGAAGGAACUCAUUUAAAUCAAUCUGAGGUUUCUCCUCAUCAUAUCUCACCACAUUUUCUGAUGUUAUUUCCACAUCUUUCUCCAUUCCUGGAGGAUUUUCUACGUUGGUUUUAUCGCAUACAAUGUUUGCUUCAUUUCUUGAAUCAGAAGAAGAUGAACUAUAAACAUUAGAGGAUUGACCAAGAACCCCAUUAUUCUUGAGUUCUUGGAGCCUCUGAUGAAUAACAUGAACACUAGGUUGUGCAUGUAUAUUAAGCAACCCACAAGAAGGAAACAUAGAAAUGAAGUUCUUGGAAGGAAUCCGUUUGAACUUCUGUGAUUCGCUGGUAAAUAGAGGAUUAAUGGAGCCAGGCUGAAGAUGAGGUAGAUUGAGAUAAGCAUCUGGUCCAUACAAUCUCCUUGCAGCCUCAUCAUAGGCCAUGGCAGCUUCUUCAGCCGUGGCAAAAGAACCCAACCAGAGUCUGGUUCUCUUCUUGGGUUCUCUGAUUUCUGCCACCCAUUUUCCCCAAGUUCUUUGGCGAACUCCUCGGUACUCGCACAUGGCGUUUUGAGGGCCACCUUUGCCUCUUGGUGGGCCUUUCUUCCAUGGCUUCAAUGGAGAUUUCCUGCAAUUUUCCAUGAGAAAGCUAAGAGUAAAGUCGUGAAGAGAGUGAGAGCGGG
rnacentral:misc_RNA from 1 species